rnacentral:rRNA from 1 species
UACGGGGGGGGCAAGCGUUGUUCGGAAUUACUGGGCGUAAAGCGUGCGCAGGCGGUUGUGCAAGACCGAUGUGAAAUCCCCGGGCUUAACCUGGGAAUGGCAUUGGUGACUGCACGGCUAGAGUGUGUCAGAGGGGGGUAGAAUUCCACGUGUAGCAGUGAAAUGCGUAGAGAUGUGGAGGAAUACCGAUGGCGAAGGCAGCCCCCCUGGGAUAACACUGACGCUCAUGCACGAAAGCGUGGGGGAGCAAACAGG